AAUGAACGCUGGCGGCGCGCCUAAUACAUGCAAGUCGAGCGAGAAGACGUAGCAAUACGUUUGUAAAGCGGCGAACGGGUGAGGAAUACAUGGGUAACCUACCCUCGAGUGGGGAAUAACUAGCCGAAAGGUUAGCUAAUACCGCGUACGCUCCUUGGACUUCGGUUCAGGGAGGAAAGCGAUACCGUGGGUAUCGCGCUCUUGGUUGGGCUCAUGUCCUAUCAGCUUGUUGGUGAGGAACGGCUCACCAAGGCUUCGACGGGUAGCUGGUCUGAGAGGACGAUCAGCCACACUGGCACUGCGACACGGGCCAGACUCCUACGGGAGCAGCAGUAAGGAAUAUUGCGCAAUGGGCGAAAGCCUGACGCAGCGACGCCGCGUGGGGGAUGAAGGUCUUCGGAUUGUAAACCCCUUUCGGGAGGGAAGAUGGAACGAGCAAUCGUUCGGACGGUACCUCCACGAAGCAGCCACGGCUAACUUCGUGCCAGCAGCCGCCGCGGUAA
rnacentral:rRNA from 1 species